UCCUUGUCUUUGUGAGUAGUAUUACACCUCCCAGCUCCUUCCUGCCAUUUUCUUCCCUGGAAAUGGUCCCUCAGAGGUGAGUUAGCAGCCAUCUCUGUGUCAGAGAGUUCUGAGAACACCUGCUCCUCAGAGGUUCAAUCCAGAACUGGGAAUUUUGCUGUCAUUUCCUGUAGAAAUCUGCAGGAGAUAGCUGCAAAUCUCUGAAUCACCACUUGGGAGCGCCCAACGCCCAUGGUUGAAACCUCUCUCAGCUCCUUGCCUGGGUCUGGUCGGGCUUCCCUGGGCUGGCAACAGGCGGGGACGGGUGGGUGGGGACACCUCCCCCCCCCGCACCAGUUUCACUAUCCUCUGCUCCGUGUUUGCACCCACAAACAUCCAGUGCCUCCAACAGGCUCCACAAUCUCCACUGUCCUGCGCCUGGGAUCGGCUUGGACUCCAGCGGUCUCAGAUGACAGGAGCCAUCUAACCUUGGGAACAGAACCGCCCCUCGGGUCGUGAGGAUUCCUCCAGAGCUAGGAAGCCGGGACUGAGACGGUGACGGCCCAGCCCCCAGCUGACCCUCAGAGCUGGCCUCCUGCCCUCGCCCGCCUCAGCCCCUUCCGGAGCGAGCCCCCACCAGCGGCUGCAGUUGGACUCCUUUCCUGUUUUCUCUCAAUCUCCUUUCUUAAGGGCCGGCCUGAUCUUCGCCAGCUCCCCCACCAUUUUCUCUUACUUUCUAAUCAAAUCCUUUUCCUGCAAAGAUGUGCUUUAGUUUCCAUUUCCAUUAUCACUAAAAGCCCAGGCCUGUGAA